ACCUGCCCAUCAGCGGGGGAUAACACUUGGAAACAGGUGCUAAUACCGCAUAAUACUUUUUCUCUCAUGAGUGAAAGUUGAANGGCGCUUUUGCGUCACUGAUGGAUGGACCCGCGGUGCAUUAGCUAGUUGGUAGGGUAACGGCCUACCAAGGCAACGAUGCAUAGCCGACCUGAGAGGGUGAUCGGCCACACUGGGACUGAGACACGGCCCAGACUCCUACGGGAGGCAGCAGUAGGGAAUCUUCGGCAAUGGACGAAAGUCUGACCGAGCAACGCCGCGUGAGU
rnacentral:rRNA from 1 species